UACGGAGGGUGCAAGCGUUGCUCGGAAUUAUUGGGCGUAAAGGGUAGGUAGGUGGUCUCGUUUGUCUAGGGUGAAAGCCUUGAGCUUAACUCGAGAAGUGCCCUAGAAACGGCGAGACUAGAGUCCUGGAGAGGGUCGUGGAAUUCCCGGUGUAGCGGUGAAAUGCGCAGAUAUCAGGAGGAACACCUAUUGCGAAGGCAGCUCGCUGGGACGUAACUGACGCUGAGACGCGAAAGCGUGGGGAGCAAACAGG
rnacentral:rRNA from 1 species